rnacentral:rRNA from 1 species
UUCGCCCUUUUCCGGUUGAUCCUGCCGGACCUGACUGCUAUCGGAUUGAUACUAAGCCAUGCGAGUCAUUGUAGCAAUACAAGGCAGACGGCUCAGUAACGCGUAGUCAACCUACCCUAUGGACGGGAAUAACCUCGGGAAACUGAGUAUAAUGCCCGAUAGAACACUAUACCUGGAAUGGUUUGUGUUUCAAAUGAUUUAUCGCCAUAGGAUGGGACUGCGGCCUAUCAGUUUGUUGGUGAGGUAAUGGCCCACCAAGACUAUUACAGGUACGGGCUCUGAGAGGAGUGGCCCGGAGAUGGGUACUGAGACACGGACCCAGGCCCUAUGGGGCGCAGCAGGCGAGAAAACUUUGCAAUGUGCGAAAGCACGACAAGGUUAAUCCGAGUGGUUUGUGCUAAACGAACCUUUUGUCAGUCCUAGAAACACUAACGAAUAAGGGGUGGGCAAGUUCUGGUGUCAGCCGCCGCGGUAAAACCAGCACCUCAAGUGGUCAGGAUGAUUAUUGGGCCUAAAGCAUCCGUAGCCGGCUCUGUAAGUUUUCGGUUAAAUCUGUACGCUUAACGUACAGGCUGCCGGGAAUACUGCAGAGCUAGGGAGUGGGAGAGGUAGACGGUACUCGGUAGGAAGGGGUAAAAUCCUUUGAUCUAUCGAUGACCACCUGUGGCGAAGGCGGUCUACCAGAACACGUCCGACGGUGAGGGAUGAAAGCUGGGGGAGCAAACCGGAUUAGAUACCCGGGUAGUCCCAGCUGUAAACUAUGCAAACUCAGUGAUGCAUUGA